rnacentral:tRNA from 1 species
GCCGAAGUGGCGGAAUUGGUAGACGCGUUGGUCUCAAAAACCAAUGAGGUUUAUCCUCUUACCGGUUCGAUUCCGGUCUUCGGCA